GUCGAUUCUCAGCCUUGUGGCUAAGAUCAAGUGUAGAAUCUGUUCUUAUUCAGUUUGGCAGUCAUGUGAGUUUAAAAAAUGUUUGUCUAGUCCAGCCGUGGGCAAACUACAGCCCGCGGGCGGGAUCCGGCCCAUUUGAAAUGAAUAAAACUAAAAAAAAAAGACUGUACCCUUU
rnacentral:snRNA from 1 species